rnacentral:rRNA from 1 species
CAGUAGCCGCGGGAAUACGUAGGUGGCAAGCGUUGUCCGGAAUUAUUGGGCGUAAAGGGCUCGCAGGCGGUUUCUUAAGUCUGAUGUGAAAGCCCCCGGCUCAACCGGGGAGGGUCAUUGGAAACUGGGAAACUUGAGUGCAGAAGAGGAGAGUGGAAUUCCACGUGUAGCGGUGAAAUGCGUAGAGAUGUGGAGGAACGCCAGUGGCGAAGGCGACUCUCUGGUCUGUAACUGACGCUGAGGAGCGAAAGCGUGGGGAGCGAACAGGAUUAGAUACCCCUGUAGUCCCUGUCUCUUAUAC